rnacentral:rRNA from 1 species
UACAGAGGAUGCAAGCGUUAUCCGGAAUGAUUGGGCGUAAAGCGUCUGUAGGUGGCUUUUUAAGUCCGCCGUCAAAUCCCAGGGCUCAACUCUGGACAGGCGGUGGAAACUACCAAGCUGGAGUACGGUAGGGGCAGAGGGAAUUUCCGGUGGAGCGGUGAAAUGCGUAGAUCUUGGAAAGACCACCAAUGGCGAAGGCACUCUACUGGGCCAUUACUGACACUAAGAGACGAAAGCUAGGGGAGCAAAUGGG